AGAUAUGUUUGAUAUAUUUGGUG
rnacentral:miRNA from 2 species